UGGGCAUGAAAAUGAUUGAAUCUAAAUGGAAAAUUUAUAGAAAAUCCUACCAUUCAAAAGAGCAGCUCUCCUCACAGUUCAGUUACAUUCGAUGAAACUAAUAGGCGAUUUUCCAGUUUGAACAAUCGUAGGAUGACUUCACAUUUCUAUAUUCCAGCAUUUGAACUUGAACAAGGAACUGGAGGAGAAAGAACUGAAUAUCUCUGCAUAAAAGAUGGCUAUGAAGACAAGAGUACAUGUUGCUGCAAAAAUGAUGGGCCAAGACAGUGUUCCUCUUGGAGGUUUCAUUAUGGGGAAGAGAAAUGAGAGAAACUUAUGUGCAGGACAGCAACAGAAUGAUGAGGAAAUUGCAGAAAGGGUUUAAGGAGGAUGGAGGUUUUAUGGGAUAUUGGAGUAGGAGUGAAGUUAAAGCAUAAUAUGAUUUUGUUAUUUUUUUUUUCAUUAAUACAAAUAAUGUAAUGAUGAAGUAUACUGGAGGUUGAGGCAUAAGUUAGAAGGCUAACAUCCUCAUAUCAUAAUUAUGAAUUAGAGACCAUGCAAUUUUACACCUGUCAUCAGUCAUAA